CCCCAGGGUUGGCCGGGUUCCCCUGCGGGCGAAACAAAGAAGUAGGAGCCAGGACUCCGCUGGCGGCGAACCAGGCGCCGGGACCGGGAGCCCCUGAGACGCGACGACACGGGCUUGUUCGACUGCACCUUUCUUCGUCUGGAUAAAGGCUGGCUGCUUCGGUCUCUGCACCACCCAGAACCGCCGCCGCGCCCGCGGAGGCCUGCAGGUCUCACCCACCCAGUCUGGACGCUCACUCGGGCAGCGCUGACUGCCGGUGCUCCCCGAAGUCCCGACACCUGGACCCUCGAAUGGCUCGGCGCCAGCUCCGGCUUUCCUACCUGGUGGCUGGGCCUGAACCUUGCGCUGGGGCUCCGCUGUCUCUGCUCGACUGCCUGGACCUGAGUGGGUCUGGCGAACAGAGAGAGAAAGGCUAGAUCCGCAGCCCUGGGCUGCUCCAAACUUAAUGUCUUUCCCCAGUCCAUCUUUGAAAGAGAAGUGGUUCUACCACCUGGAUGUGCGGAUAUAAAUCCCCUUGCAAAUAAUAAAUGGAUUAAUAAUAACAAG
rnacentral:lncRNA from 1 species